rnacentral:lncRNA from 1 species
GAGCUGAUAAUGGGUUUACAGUGAUAUGAAAGCCCCAUGCUCGCCUCUGCUGAUUGUGUGGCCAUUUUCACUGGGAUAUGAAGGGGAAAACACCAUGGAGAACAUUCCAACAUUCUCGUUUGAAACUGACAAGAAUUUCCAGAUGGUAGUGUACAGGUGUCUGCAAUACAUGGUUGCGUUAUUCUGUUACCUUGAACUGCCGUGGGAAAAUAUAUUUUACAGUAAUCUUAAUUUUGUUAAGAGCUGAUAUAAAACUUUUCUACUGAAAUGUCAUAUAUUCCAUACACGUUGGCUAAUAGAAUAUGAUAUGCUCCCAAGUAUAUUUGAUAACUGUCAUUGGGUAUUGAGGACUGCGGUGAUGGUACAGAUGGACCUCUUGGAUGAGAGAGGAGAAGGGUGCAUUGUACAGGAAGUUCAGCAAAAUGGAAGUUAAGGAGUAGACCAAACUUGGAGCAAUGAAGGAGACCCCCACAAUGAAGGAUUGUUUGUAGAGUCAUGGGAUGAGAAGAGGCUUCAUGUAAUGAAAAAUAAGGCGGGGCUAGACGAGCACCCAUGUCCGUGAUGGAUCAGCCAGGACUUCAGCCUUGGUUUAGGAGAAAAAUGAAGAAGUUACAGACAGUUGAGCCUGAGCGGGGAAAGGGCCCUGGUUACGGUGGAAGGAAGGAAUUGCAGCAGUAGACCCUGGGUGCAUGGGAAGACGUGUUGGCCCCGCAGCUGCUGUCGUCUGUGGCUUUUGCCUGUCUUUGGCUUUUGGCUCAGCUCUGGAGAUAACCACUUCAUCCACAUGAGCUUCAUCUUGCUAGGUACACUCAGGGAUGGUGGGCAGAAAGCCAGUUUUGGACAGUUGGCAUGGAAGAGGCUGAACA